rnacentral:rRNA from 1 species
GACAGAGGUCCCGAGCGUUAGGCGGAAUCACUGGGCUUAAAGCGUGUGUAGGCGGAUUUGUAAGUACCUUGUGAAAUCCCACGGCUUAACCGUGGAACUGCUUGGUAUACUGCUUAUCUUGAGCCACUUAGGGGCAACCGGAACAAACGGUGGAGCGGUGAAAUGCGUAGAUAUCAUUUGGAACGCCAAUGGUGAAAACAGGUAGCUGGGGAUGUGCUGACGCUGAGACACGAAAGCCAGGGGAGCAAACGGG